GGGCCUUCUGCCAAGGGCCCGCUUUGAUCUCCCUUAAAGGACAGCAUUAUCUGACCAGAGGUAAAUUGUAACCACUGAAAGUCCGCUGUUUCGAUUCUGGGCAAGAUGCUAUGGCAGAAGAGGGACCAUGAUGAACUACUUAGAAAAAUACAUAAGGCCAUAGAAAUAAUGUGUGAUUAUUUGAUGAAUGCCUGUCUCUCCCACUGGGACCAUCAGCUUAGAAAAGAAAUGAUGUGGAUGUGCUCACCAAGUUAUUUGCAGAGCUUAGCAGAGUGGGAUAGAAGAGACCCAUGCAGGAGACCUCUCCAGGUACACAUAUUUCCUGCUGCUCAAUGGCUUAGACUGGGAUUUGCAAGGAAGUACGAAGUCCAAGACCUUUGCCUUUCUUUUAGAAGAAGGCACCAGCUGGUUCUCCAAUGUUGAAGGUCUUCUCCAGAGAUACCUUAAGGUAUGGGGAGAUUACAACUUGCUCAAGGUCUCAUAGCUAGAAGAUGUCAGAGUGAUAACUCAAACCAUGUCACGUGACUCUAAGCCCAAAGCGGCCUCUAGAAGGUUGUUUGAUCUUCUGAUGGAAGCACAAAUCACCAUUCCAACAUGAAAGAUGGAGAAACUUAAGUCUAGAAAGAUUUAAAGGACUUGUCAAAGGCAAUGAAACAAGUGGAACUCUGAAAGCCACAUGUUGAGAUGGCCCCAUUACAGGAUGGAGAGCACCUGAACCCCCAAGUUAUGGACAAGAAGAAGACAGUUGCCUUGGAAAAUCAUCUGACCCACAUUGGACUUUACGUGAGGGGGAAAUAAACCUUUAUUAUGUUAAGC
rnacentral:lncRNA from 1 species